rnacentral:rRNA from 1 species
AUUGAACGCUGGCGGAAUGCUUUACACAUGCAAGUCGAACGGUAGAGGGGGCAACCCCUCGAGAGUGGCGAACGGGUGAGUAAUAUAUCGGAACGUGCCCAGUCGUGGGGGAUAACGUAGCGAAAGUUACGCUAAUACCGCAUACGAUCUAAGGAUGAAAGCGGGGGAUCGCAAGACCUCGCGCGAUUGGAGCGGCCGAUAUCAGAUUAGGUAGUCGGUGGGGUAAAGGCUCACCAAGCCAACGAUCUGUAGCUGGUCUGAGAGGACGACCAGCCACACUGGAACUGGGACACGGUCCAGCCUCCUACGGGAGGCAGCAGUGGGGAAUUUUGGACAAUGGACGCAAGUCUGAUCCAGCCAUUCCGCGUGCAGGAUGAAGGCCCUCGGGUUGUAAACUGCUUUUGUACGGAACGAAAAGGUCUCUCUUAAUACGGGGGACUCAUGACGGUACCGUAAGAAUAAGCACCGGCUAACUACGUGCCAGCAGCCGCCGUAA